CAGCCGCCGCGGUAAUACGGAGGGUGCAAGCGUUAAUCGGAAUUGCUGGGCGUAAAGCGCACGCAGGCGGUUUGUUAAGUCAGAUGUGAAAUCCCCGAGCUUAACUUGGGAACUGCAUUUGAAACUGGCAAGCUAGAGUCUUGUAGAGGGGGGUAGAAUUCCAGGUGUAGCGGUGAAAUGCGUAGAGAUCUGGAGGAAUACCGGUGGCGAAGGCGGCCCCCUGGACAAAGACUGACGGUCAGGCGCGAAAGCGUGGGGAGCAAACAGGAUUAGAUACCCCAGUAGUCCCUGUCUCUUAUAC
rnacentral:rRNA from 1 species